CCUACGGGAGGCUGCAGUAGGGAAUCUUCCACAAUGGGCGAAAGCCUGAUGGAGCAACGCCGCGUGGGUGAAGAGGGUCUUCGGAUCGUAAAACCCUGUUGUCAGAGAAGAAAGUGCGUGAGAGUAACUGUUCACGUUUCGACGGUAUCUAACCAGACAGCCACGGCUAACUACGUGCCAGCAGCCGCGGUAAUACGUAGGUGGCAAGCGUUAUCCGGAUUUAUUGGGCGUAAGGGGAACGCAGGCGGUCUUGUAAGUCUGAUGUGAAAGCCUUCGGCUUAACCGGAGUAGUGCAUUGGAAACUGGGGGACUUGAGUGCAGAAGAGGAGAGUGGAACUCCAUGUGUAGCGGUGAAAUGCGUAGAUAUAUGGAAGAACACCAGUGGCGAAAGCGGCUCUCUGGGCUGUAACUGACGCUGAGGUUCGAAAGCGUGGGUAGCAAACAGGAUUAGAUACCCUUGUAGUC
rnacentral:rRNA from 1 species